AUUGAACGCUGGCGGCAGGCCUAACACAUGCAAGUCGAGCGGAUGAAGGGAGCUUGCUCCUGGAUUCAGCGGCGGACGGGUGAGUAAUGCCUAGGAAUCUGCCUGGUAGUGGGGGAUAACGUCCGGAAACGGGCGCUAAUACCGCAUACGUCCUGAGGGAGAAAGUGGGGGAUCUUCGGACCUCACGCUAUCAGAUGAGCCUAGGUCGGAUUAGCUAGUUGGUGGGGUAAAGGCCUACCAAGGCGACGAUCCGUAACUGGUCUGAGAGGAUGAUCAGUCACACUGGAACUGAGGCACGGUCCAGACUCCUACGGGAGGCAGCAGUGGGGAAUAGUGGACAAUGGGCGAAAGCCUGAUCCAGCCAUGCCGCGUGUGUGAAGAAGGUCUUCGGAUUGUAAAGCACUUUAAGUUGGGAGGAAGGGCAGUAAGUUAAUACCUUGCUGUUUUGACGUUACCAACAGAAUAAGCACCGGCUAACUUCGUG
rnacentral:rRNA from 1 species